rnacentral:rRNA from 1 species
GACGAACGCUGGCGGCGUGCUUAACACAUGCAAGUCGAACGGGAUUUAGUAAACAGAAGCCUCGGUGGAAGAUUACUAAUGAGAGUGGCGAACGGGUGAGUAACGCGUGAGCAACCUGCCUAUGACAGUGGGAUAGCCUCGGGAAACCGGGAUUAAUACCGCAUAAAAUCGUAGAAACACAUGUUUUAACGGUCAAAGAUUUAUCGGUCAUAGAUGGGCUCGCGUCUGAUUAGCUAGUUGGUGAGAUAACAGCCCACCAAGGCGACGAUCAGUAGCCGGUCUGAGAGGAUGAACGGCCACAUUGGAACUGAGACACGGUCCAAACUCCUACGGGAGGCAGCAGUGGGGAAUAUUGCACAAUGGGGGAAACCCUGAUGCAGCGACGCCGCGUGAACGAAGAAGGUAUUCGUAUCGUAAAGUUCUGUCCUAUGGGAAGAUAAUGACAGUACCAUAGAAGAAAGCUCCGGCUAAAUACGU